rnacentral:rRNA from 1 species
GACGAACGCUGUCGGCGUACCUAAUACCUGCAAGUCGAACGCAGUGGGGACGGGUUAGUAACACGUGGGUAACCUCCCAUCAGAGGGGAUAACACUUGGAAACAGGUGCUAAACCGAUACUGAUGGAUGGAGCCGCGGUGCAUUAGCUAGUUGGUGAGGUAACGGCUCACAAAGGCCACGAUGCAUAGCCGCCCUGCGAGGUAGAGCGGCCACACGGGGACUGAGACACGGCCGUGAAUCCGACGGGAGACAGCAGUAGGAAAGAUUCGGAAAUGGACGAAAGUCUGACCGAGCAACGCCGCGGGAGUGAAGAAGGUGUUCGGUUCGUAAAAAUAUGUUGUUAGAGAAGCGGUAUCUAACCAGAAAGCCACGGAUAACUCAGUGCCAGCAGCCGCGGUAAUAC